rnacentral:lncRNA from 13 species
AUUAGGUCUUAUUCAUUUUUUUCUAACUAUUUUUGUGCCUCUUUACCAUCCCCAUUUUCCCCCGUAUCCCACCCCUACUUCCCUUCCCAGCUUAUGGCAACCAUCCUUCUACUCUCUAUCUCUGUAAGUUCAAUUGUUUUAAUUUUUAGCUCCCACAAAUAAGUAAGAACAUGUGAAAUUUGUGUUUCUGUGCCUGGUUUAUUUCACUUAAUGACCUCCAGUUCAUCUAUGUUGCUGCAAAUGACAGGAUCACAUUCUUUUUUAGGGCUGAGCAGUACCGUGUUGUGUAUUUGUACCACUUUUUCUUUAUGCAUUUAUCCAUUCCUCUAUCCGUUCGUGGAUACUUAGGUUGCUUCCAAAUCUUGGCUGCUGUGAAUAGUUCUGCAGUAAACAUGGGAGUGCAGAUAUCUCUGAUAUGCUGAUUUCCUUUCUUUUGAGUAUACACCCAGCAGUGGGAUUGCUGGAUCAUAUAGUAGCUUUAUUUUUAGUGUUUUUUUUUCCUUUGAGGAACCUCCAAACUGGUCUCCAUCAUGGUUGGACUAAUUUACAUUCCCACCAACAGCAUACAAGGAUUCUGCUUUCUUCGCAUUCUCACUAAGAUUUGUCAUGGCCUGUCUUUUGGAUAAAAGUUAUUUUAACUGGGAUGAGAUGAUAUCCCACUGUAGUUUUGAUUUGCAUUAAUCUGAUGAUCAGUGGCAUUGAGCACCUUUUCAUAUACUGUUUGCAAUUUGUAUGUCUUCUUUUGAGAAAUGUCUAUUCAGAUUUUUGCCCAAUUUUUAACUGAAUUGUUAAGUGUUUUUCUAUAGAUUUGUUUGAGCUCCUUAUAUAUUCUGGUUAUUAAUCGCUUGUCAGAUGGAUAUUUUGGAAAUAUUUUCUCCUAUUCUGUGGUUGUCACUUCACUUUGUUGAUUCUUCCCCUUGCUGUGCAGAAGCUUUUGAACUUGAUGUGAUCCCAUUUGUCCAUGGAAGAGUUCCAAUGUGUUCAGAGGUGGUCAAAUGCUGUAUAGCAGGACACAUUAACCAUAAGCAAUCUCCCCAUUUUUAACAGAUGAAGCUUAGCACAAGAGCAACAGCAAAAACUGUGAAAAAUAAGAUUAAAUUGUUGACGAAAUAAUUAGUGAACUAAAAAAGAAGAAAUUAUUCGAAAUAAACCAUGGAAAAUCAAAAAAGAUGCA